rnacentral:rRNA from 1 species
UUAGUGGAAGCGUCUGGAAAGGCGCGCGAUACAGGGUGACAGCCCCGUACACAAAAGCGCAUGUGCUGUGAGCUCGAUGAGUAGGGCGGGACACGUGGUAUCCUGUCUGAAUAUGGGGGGACCAUCCUCCAAGGCUAAAUACUCCUGACUGACCGAUAGUGAACCAGUACCGUGAGGGAAAGGCGAAAAGAACCCCGGCGAGGGGAGUGAAAAAGAACCUGAAACCGUGUACGUACAAGCAGUGGGAGCCCCACCACUAAGCCAGUGGUGAACUCCACAUACGCAUCCUUUGCUGAGGAUACGGUUAACGGAGCGAAAGCGACGUUCAACCGCAAAAGAAGCAGAGGGGGCUUAGUGGUGGGGUGACUGCGUACCUUUUGUAUAAUGGGUCAGCGACUUAUAUUCUGUAGCAAGGUUAACCGWAUAGGGGAGCCGSAGGGAAACCGAGUCUUAACCGGGCGUUAAGUUGCAGGGUAUAGACCCGAAACCCGGUGAUCUAGCCAUGGGCAGGUUGAAGGUUGGGUAACACUAACUGGAGGACCGAACCGACUAAUGUUGAAAAAUUAGCGGAUGACCUGUGGCUGGGGGUGAAAGGCCAAUCAAACCGGGAGAUAGCUGGUUCUCCCCGAAAGCUAUUUAGGUAGCGCCUCGUGAAUUCAUCUCCGGGGGUAGAGCACUGUUUCGG